CCUCUCUUUCUCAGGGCUUUUGUUAGAACAGAGAAUGGCUUUUUGCUUUCAUGGAAGCUUGUGAGACUGAUGCACGAACUGACAGCACGGCCUAUCAUUCAACAAUUUAUCAACUACCUAAUUAUAUGAAAAGAAGGAAGAAUAAACAGAACAGUCCUGAGUCAUCCAACAAAGGGAAAACUGGAAAAUGUCACUCAUAUACUGUUAUCUUCACUGGUACACUUACAGUGUAACUGGAAUUUGUGACAGCACACCAGAGGUCCAGUCCUGUUACUUGAAUAAUGAACUAAAUUAACCUACUCAUUAAUACUUUAAAAUUCAUUCUUCACAGAAGCAAAUCAGAAGUAAGUGAAUAUGUCAACAUAACUAGGAUCCGAAAACUGCUUUUUGUCCUUCCUCACACAGCUACCUAAUUAGUAAAAGGAAGCUAAAUUCUAUGUGUGCCUCAUUAAAAAUGAACCUAUUAUUUGACUGUGAUGUUCUAAAAUGUAAAAUUCUACUAAUAACACUAUGCUAUUCUUUCAUUCUUUGGUUCAGUCUUGUUUUCAGGAUGGAAAAUCUGAAUGU